AUAACUUUCAACAACGGAUCUCUUGGCUCUCGCAUCGAUGAAGAACACAGCGAAAUGUGAUAAGUAAUGUGAAUUGCAGAAUCCAGUGAAUCAUCGAAUUUUUGAACGCAUCUUGCACUCCUUGGUAUUCCGAGGAGUAUGCCUGUUUGAGUGUCAUUAAA
rnacentral:rRNA from 1 species